UACGGGGGGGCAAGCGUUGUUCGGAAUUAUUGGGCGUAAAGAGCUCGUAGGCGGUCUGUCGCGUCGAUCGUGAAAACUUGGGGCUUAACCCUGAGCUUGCGGUCGAUACGGGCAUGACUGGAGUUCGGCAGGGGAGACUGGAAUUCCUGGUGUAGCGGUGAAAUGCGCAGAUAUCAGGAGGAACACCGGUGGCGAAGGCGGGUCUCUGGGCCGAUACUGACGCUGAGGAGCGAAAGCGUGGGGAGCGAACAGG
rnacentral:rRNA from 1 species